AAUAAGCGCAACUAUAUAAGUUUUUGCGUCCAACUUUAAUCGACCGUUUUAUUUGAAAUUUUUUUAUAAUUAGCAUUUUUGUUGCUGAGAUAAUAAAACAUGAAAAGUACUUUACUCUUGACUUAUGUUUUUAAACUUUUUUUUAAAAAAAUUCAAACAAGACGAACGGUUAAAGUUGGGUGCGGAAAAUCAUGUAUACACUUAUU
rfam:Oryza glaberrima chromosome 2 Oglab02_0021_7, whole genome shotgun sequence.